GGAAGAUGAGGCAAUGGAGAGGCCCCUCCUCACCUGUCCUAGAAAGAUGAUGCAUUUCAUGCUCUGAGAAACACAGAACAGAUGGGUUGAGGUUCUCCUGGGAGGUGAGUACAUCUUUCCAUCUUUGAAACACUUGCCCAAGAUCACCCAAAAGAUAAAGACCAGAGCCAAGACUUGAUACUCUACUCUACCUUACUCUACUCUACUCUACCCUAUUCUAUUCUAAUCUACUCUACUCAGAAAGAAAGACUCUUUUGGGGACAAAGUAACACUUAACAGUAAAUUCAUACAAAAUACAGCUUUAGAACAUUUCAGGGUCUUCCUGAUCAUCCUCAGUUCAAAGAAAGCAACAAAAGAGGCAAAACUUCCCUGUGAUCCUGAGUAGGCUGUGGUCAUCUCCCGUGAGCAAAGGCAGGACGCAGCUUCAGAGCCACAAAGUUCAGCAUCUACAGAUAUAGCUGCACACUCAUUUUGUAUCUGUGGAGAUCUGGACUUCGCCUGAAAAGAUGCUUCUGAUCUCUUUGGAGAUACACUAAGAAUAUACUACUGCUUUGUAGCUGUUAUACAAGUAUAUCCUAUGCCACUCCUUCACGUCAUGUGUGGGCGUCUCAGGCAGCCCACGGCCCCCCAGAUGAUGCCAGAUGCUUAUGUGUUGGCAAACGAAGCAGCCCUUCUGGCUGGUCAGCUGAAUCUGUCCAUAGUCUGUGUAAGUUUGGCUUUCAAAUGUGGAGUUGAGUGCCACCCCUCAUUUACUCUCUGCAGCUGUCCCCAGCUUGCCGGAUCCUGCAAGGAGCACUAACUUGCUGCACAGCGUUAGCCAGGAUUAAGUUACAGGCACACACUUGCAAGGACACAUGAGAAGAAGUAACCCAGACUCAUUGUGCAGAUAUGGGGCUAAGGUUCAGGAAAGCUUCCAGCCUGGCUGGGGUAUCAAGGCCACUAUUUUAACUCUGGUUAAAAAAAGUCCAACCACUGAACGUCUGCACUCACCCCAUGAUUGAAUAAAAGCUUUUCAAGGACUGCUCUAAUUCUUCCUCCAAGCUUGCAAUAGUCUGGUGCUGAUGAGAGAGUGCAUGAAGAGAAUUUUGCAGCUGAGUGUUUGCCUGUGAUGCCCUUUUGGCAGCAAGGUGGAUGUGUCCAUAGGAAAUACAGAUCUUGCUGAUGCUUUCUUUGCUGCUGAAUAGCCUUGAUGAAGCAAAGGGAAAGCCUGAAGAAGAGGGAAAGCCUGAAGAAGACAGAAGAAUCCUAAGGUUACACAGGUUAAUAUUCCUCCCAGUGCUGAGCACCGAGCAGGGAAGCAGAGUUGAAAACAAAGAAAGAGAAGAAACCCCCUCCAAAUUAAGAUAUUUUUCAGAGAAGAAAACUGUACCAAGCCCCUUAGACACUACAUGCACGUGGAAAGGGGCCUGUGCACUGUGUUGACAAAAUGCUGCUUUUGUCCUGUUUGGAAGCUGCCCUGCACCCUGCUGCUCAUGCUCUCCUGCAGCUGUCUCCUUGCCCCAGCUCCAGGUACAGCUGGAGGGACUGGGGGCUCUGAAAAGUGAUGCCUGAGUGACAACUGGCAAGUGACUUCCCUUCAAUGGACAAAGGAGGGAGCCUUCCUCCCUUCCUCCUGCCAGCUUUCUCUUUUUCUUUUCUUUUAUUUCAAGGGGAAAGAGGAAAAAUAGGGAGAAAGAAAGUGGCAGGAAGAAAUCAGCUGUGUGGAAAAUUCUUUGUUAUGAGAGUGGUGAGGUGCUGAACAGCUGCCCACAGAGGCUGUGGAUGCCCCAUCAUCCCUGGAGGUGUUCAAGGCCAGGUUGGAUGGGGCCCUGGGCAGCCUGGGCUGGUAUGAAAUGUGGAGGUUGGUGGCCCUGCCUGUGGUGGGGGGUUGGAGUUUCGUGAUCCUUGAGGUCCCUUCCAACCCAACCAUUCUGUGAUUCUGUGAAAAAACAGCUGGGAGAACACAUUGCUGUGGCUCAGGAUGGGCAAAUACCCAUCCCCUGAGCUUCGGAGGGCCUUCCUCAUUACCCAUGUCCACAUUUGUGAACUGUGCUCCAUAUGGACCAAGGUCCCAACCCCAAAGCAAGAAAAACCCCAUUAAACAUCUAGAUAGGGACUCAGAAGUUGGCUUCUGCAGCUGAGCCCCAUCCUUAAGCACUGUAAAUUUCUGCUUACGUGAGAAGUUCACCUUGGUCCAUACAACUGCCCAACUGGGAUAUCCCACAGACCCAGUACAAGGACCAGUUCUCAGCCAGAACAGAGGUGCCCAAAAAAUAAAACAGAGCUCUCCUAAGCUGUUGUCCUCUGAGUGCUGUGCCAUCCUUCCCUGCCUUGACGCAAUGGUUGGCACCACUGCUCCUCUCUAACCUCUCUACUUCCUCCUGCAGGUAAGGUGUAGCGAGGCCAAGCAAGUGACGUGCUCAGGAGCUAUGCUCUGCUCUGGCUGGUCAAACGGAACCAAGCCCGUCUUCUUCGGAGGUUUGGUCCCCUUCAACCAGCUAUAGCAGUGUUGAAAACAUCGCACCAGGAAAGUGUGCCUCCAUCCAUCUCAGCUCAACCCUGACAGCCUCUCCUCCUGCAUGGAUCUGCUGCCCCUGAGGAAAUGAGUCACCAGAAAAGAUGUGGGACAGGUUUUGACUUUACUCAGCUUCUCUGCAAGAGUGCUUGCCCGUGCAAGGUCCACAUGAUCCUACCUGCUCAGCAUUACCAAAGACCCCAAAUAUCAGAUUUAAACCGAAGCAAAAAUUGGAUUAUUGUUUCUUUUUUCCUUCAUUUUUGUCCCCCUGAAGAGGAAAAAUCAACCAGGACCAAAAAGAUCAAAAAUCCAGCUUCAUUUCCUGCUAAAUUAGUUUAUAAAAAGAAAUAAAACCAUUUUGUUCUGCUUUGCAUUGAAUCUGAGAGUCAUUUCAGUCCCGCUAGAUAGCUUUCAGAAAUCAAGAAAUAGAAGGGUUGCUCUGAAAGUAAUGCCUCCUAUCUGAUGAUGCUGACCCAUGAUGCCAGAGGUGGAUGCUGGUGGGAUGGCAGUAGAGGCCGAACCUCCCCACCAAUAUUCCAUUGCAUUUUGCUUCCAUGUGACAGCUGGCAGCAGAGAGGCAGUCUGACACAAUGGCGCCUGAUAUGGAAAUGCAUAGGAAGUAAAAGGGUGUCACUGAAUUCCUCCAUGCAGAAAAAAUGGCACCUACUGAUGUUCAUCAACACUUCCUGGAUGUUCAGGGAGACCAACCCGUGGGUGUGAGCACAGUGAGAGGUGGCAACAGUGGCUCACCUCUGCUGGUGCACUGCAUGCACCAGCACUGCAUGCAGGCUCUCAUUCACCACUGGUGAAAAU
ensembl:lncRNA